AAUUCAUUAAAAAAAUUAAACUUUUAAUAAAAUCAAAAAACUAUUAAUGUGUAAACUUUGUUGAUAAAUUAAAAUUAUUGAUGGAUUAUCGAUAAUCAAAAGUUUAUCCAUAAAAUUGUUGUCAAUAAAUUUUAUCGAUGGAUUUUUUUUUUAUCGGUAAUUACCGACGGAUUUGUCUGUAAGUAAUUAUCGACGAAAAAAUUCGUCGAUAAUUAUUAAAAGAAAAACUCAUCGAUAAAUUUGUCGGUAAAUAUCGCGAUCUGGGUCAUUUUCUUUCUUUGCUCACUUUCUUCUUUUGUUCUAUUUUUUCGUUUUUAUUUAUAUUUUUACCAAUACAGAAGAUUGAAUACAUUAAACGUAGUAAUAAACUUUGGUGUUGUCGAACUUAGAGCAAAAGGUGCGGUGGUGGCAAUACGCGGUUACACCAUUUCCGUGAAAGAGAAAGAAUAAGGGCGGCCUGGUUGAACCAAGAUAAAGGCGGCCUGACUGAACGGAACGGUGACCUUGCUGAAUGGAGAUAGAGACAAUCUUAAUUUGUAACUGCAAUGAAGUAAAAAAGAGAAAAAAAAUGAAAUGAAAGAUGGAGAAGUAGGAGAAGAAGAAGCUUCUCAUGCAGAAGAAAUGUAAAAGAUAUA
rnacentral:lncRNA from 1 species